UACGUAGGGGGCUAGCGUUGUCCGGAUUUAUUGGGCGUAAAGAGCUCGUAGGCGGUUUGUCGCGUCUGCCGUGAAAGUCCGGGGCUCAACUCCGGAUCUGCGGUGGGUACGGGCAGACUAGAGUGAUGUAGGGGAGACUGGAAUUCCUGGUGUAGCGGUGAAAUGCGCAGAUAUCAGGAGGAACGCCGAUGGCGAAGGCAGGUCUCUGGGCAUUAACUGACGCUGAGGAGCGAAAGCAUGGGGAGCGAACAGG
rnacentral:rRNA from 1 species